AGUGAACGCUGGCGGUAGGCCUAACACAUGCAAGUCGAACGGCAGCACAGUAAGAGCUUGCUCUUACGGGUGGCGAGUGGCGGACGGGUGAGGAAUACAUCGGAAUCUACUUUUUCGUGGGGGAUAACGUAGGGAAACUUACGCUAAUACCGCAUACGACCUACGGGUGAAAGCAGGGGAUCUUCGGACCUUGCGCGAUUGAAUGAGCCGAUGUCGGAUUAGCUAGUUGGCGGGGUAAAGGCCCACCAAGGCGACGAUCCGUAGCUGGUCUGAGAGGAUGAUCAGCCACACUGGAACUGAGACACGGUCCAGACUCCUACGGGAGGCAGCAGUGGGGAAUAUUGGACAAUGGGCGCAAGCCUUAUCCAGCCAUACCGCGUGGGGGAAGAAGGCCUUCGGGUUGUAAAGCCCUUUUGUUGGGAAAGAAAAGCAGCAGGUUAAUACCCCGCUGUUCUGACGGUACCCAAAGAAUAAGCACCGGCUAACUUCGUG
rnacentral:rRNA from 1 species